rnacentral:sRNA from 1 species
GCCGGGCGUGGUGAUGCACACCUGUAAUCCUAGCGGCUUGGAAGGCAGAGACAGGAGGAUCAAAACCAGCCUCAGCAACAGUAAGGCACUAAGCAACUCAGUGAGAUCCUCUCUCUA